rnacentral:lncRNA from 1 species
GGACAGUUCUUCAUUCUUUGGAAGUGAAGACUAGAGACAAAUUUUCAUUCUUUGGAGUGGAGGCUGGAUCCUGUUCCUGGAUAACAAGCUAGGAUGAAAAGGCUUCCACAGUAGUGCCCAGACAUUUUAAAGUGGAAGAGGUG